CCUACGGGAGGCAGCAGUGGGGAAUAUUGCACAAUGGGGGAAACCCUGAUGCAGCGACGCCGCGUGAAGGAUGAAGUAUUUCGGUAUGUAAACUUCUAUCAGCAGGGAAGAAAAUGACGGUAAUUGACCAAGAAGCACCGGCUAACUACGUGCCAGCAGACGCGGGAAUACGUAGGGGGCAAGCGUUAUACGGAUUUACUGGGUGGAAAGGGAGCGGAGACGGUAUGGCAAGUCUGAUGUGAAAACCCGGGGCUUAACCCGGGGAAUGCAUUGGAAACUGCCGGACUAGAGUGUCGGAGAGGCAAGUGGAAUUCCUAGUGUAGCAGUGAAAUGCGUAGAUAUUAGGAGGAACACCAGUGGCGAAGGCGGCUUGCUGGACGAUGACUGACGUUGAGGCUCGAAAGCGUGGGGAGCAAACAGGAUUAGAUACCCUGGUAGUC
rnacentral:rRNA from 1 species